GAAAGAGGGAAACUAUGUUGGGUAGGGUAAAGGUAAAGUCGGUGGGGUAUCAGUCCAGUUCAGGCGCAGGAGUUCUCGGUUAAGGACGACAGUCCUGCCCAAUCGGGACAUUAUGCCAGGCGGCGAGGGGUCCCCGAUCAAUCUCCUCGACCACCACGGAACAUCGACUACCCCUAGCGGUAUAACGUCGGCUCAGUGUCCGAAGAGCGAUGACGAGGCUGGAAGCACGACCGGAAACGCAACUACUACCGAAAAGGACGCGAGUGCAUCGACGAUGACGAGUGUCCCGGCCGGUGAGGGACUUAGACGGAGGAAGGUCAUACACGCGGCCAAAGAGACAUUAGACAAGGCAUCACGUUUAUUGAGACGUAAGAUACCAUGUACUGGCCACCUGAUGACCCCCCGCCGCCUAUGGAUACAAAAAGUACCAACUCAGAAAUGCGACGUCGUUAUGAUGUUUCCGAACGGUGCAAGCGACGAAACUCUGAUGUGGCUUUUAGGUCGACUUCGGGCUGGGACCCCUGGCCUAGUCGUGCACGUCAGACAUCAUGCCUCCUCAGAUAGUUACGGGUUUUAUCUAACGGCACCUUUUAGCGUUUUGUUAAAAGCUGCGGAGGAGGUACACUUGCCAAAAGCUCUACGCCAAGAAUAUGGCGGAGGUUUGAAGGAAUUCGUAGGCUCGGAAGCGAGCUGCUUCAAAGGAAGCGACGACGAAGCUCAUUUUUUUACUACCCAAGAAAGACAGUCCCUGGUAUUACACCUACUUCAUACGUUAAGAGCAGGUCCGCAGGAUCUUCACAGUUUAUCAGGAUUAAAACUGGUGGAAGGACAAGCCAUUAUUCCUAAGUGCAUCUCGGCAGGCAUUAUAUCACAGGUCUUCCCAUUACACGAACUACCGGCAUUAGAACAAUUACGAAAGACAUGGGUUCGCGCAUUUUUUAGUCCCCAACCAUUGGACGAUAUCUGUAAAUAUUUUGGGGUAAAAAUCAGCAUGUACUUCGCAUGGCUCGGACACUACACCACCGCUUUGAUCGUUCCCGCCGCUGUGGGUGUCAUAUACUGGGUCGGCAUCAUCGGUAGGAACCAAGCGGUGGAAGACGUGGCGUACGUGUUAUUCUCAGUCUUCAACGUAAUUUGGGCGACAGUUUAUCUAGAAACUUGGAAAAGAAGAGGUGCCGAAUUGGCCUACAGAUGGGGUACUUUAGAUCAAAGAGAUGACUUGUUGGUCGAACCUAGACCUCUCUUCACGGGUACUCUAGAAAUAUCACCUGUCACGGGAAGACUAGAACCAACUUACCCCAGAUGGCGAAGGAAUGUUUUUCGAUAUUUUGUCAGCGUACCCAUCAUCGCCGCUUGUCUAUUUUUCGUUUUCGUCGUCAUGAUACUGAGCUUCCAAAUACAGGAUUGGUGGGACGCCCGUCUUGAAGCGGGAGGCUACGGAUUCUGGCUAAGUUACGUGCCAAAAGUAUUAUUGGCCGUUGUAAUCGCCUUAAUGGACGAGGCGUACUUCAAAGUCGCAGUCUGGUUGAACGACUUGGAAAACUAUCGACUAGACACCGAGUACGAGAAUCAUCUGAUCUACAAGGUGGCACUGUUUCAGUUCGUAAACUCCUUCCUAUCGUUAUUUUACAUCGCCUUCUAUCUUCAAGACCAAGAAAGACUCAAGGAGCAACUAGCCGCGUUACUGAUAGCUCGGCAAGUGAUUGGAAAUCUUAAAGAAUCCGCAAUACCAUAUUUGGUGGAACAGCUGCGCCUAGCACAAUUGAGUUUUGAGCUCUUUGGUGCUCUGAGCCCAAGCGAAGCGAGACUACCACCUGGUAAUGACGAGGAAGACGAGAAAACGAAGAAUUCCGAUGAGAAGGAUGAACGAACGGAAACGGGAAAGACGAAGCAACCGAGGAACGUUAGCCAAGCUGAGUUGGAGAGUUCUCUCUACAGAGUAGGACACACCACUAAUUCUCUUCUUAGUGACGUUACUUUGAAGUACGAUCGAGCGUUCUCGGAACAUCUGGAAAUGCUUUCGCAACUGGGAUAUGUAUGCCUCUUCUCGUCAGCGUUUCCUUUAGCUGCCGUUGCUGCGUUACUUGGUAACCUGAUCGAAUUACGAGGAGAUGCAUUUAAGUUAUGUUACGUUCUUCAACGACCCUUUGGACGUAGGGUAUCAAAUAUCGGCACUUGGCAGAACGCUAUGGAAGCUAUGGGAUUCGUCGCGAUUUUAGUUAAUUGCGCGUUAAUCAGUCGAAGCGGACAGGUACAACGAAUGUUUCCAGAGAUGUCCGCGACUCAAACAAUUUUGCUAAUAGUCGCUUUGGAACACAUUAUGCUAGCAAUCAGAUUUAUUAUUACCUGUGCUAUACCGGAUAUACCACAUUGGGUUGCUACGGAAAUGGCCAAAGUUGAAUUCUUAAGAAGAGAAGCAGUGAGAAGAUUGUCCUCGACACCAUCACCGGAACAACAACCGUCUACCGUCAUAGGGAGAUUCGUGGUGAGUCCAGCAGACGGAGAGAGCGAAGAGCAGCAUCUGUUGAGCGAACGUACCGGAGACGCCUCGAUGUCCAGCCAACCGGAUACUCCUACUUUAGCAUCGACGACCCAAACACCGAGCAGACCAUCGACUCCAAGUGCUACGUCGAUACCCAGAAUCGCGGAGACAUCGCUUACGGCUGAGUCACCCGGUAGUAUUGGAAGUAGCAGCGAGAUCAGCAAUUCCUUCCUUUCCGAAAAUAAUAUUGGCAGUAGUCGAGACAUUCACAAUACACCGAGAUGCUCUAUACCUGGAGGAGAAAGAGGCCGACGAUCAAGAGAGUGGUUAACCAACGAACCAGAAUCAUCGAACACUGGAGAUCACUACGGUCAUCAUUUGACGAUCGGUCCUCACGGUGGUGUCGAUUGGGUACGCAAAUUAGGCUUGGAACCAGGUGGACGAAAAUCGAGCGAUUCCGAGAUCAGUGCAGUUGGUUCCGUGGCUGGAACUGCCGAAGAAUUAACUCUCCAUAGAUCUACCGAUUGCAUCGUUUCAAAGGAUCUGGCUUCGUCCUCGGAUAGUGAUUUGUUAAAGUCUGCCCCGCCAUGGGUGAUAACUCACAGAAAUCCAAAGUUCCGUUUUUCACCGGAGAAGGAGAGGGAACGAGAGAAGGUGGAGAAGCAACAAUAUUAUCAGCAUCAUCAACAGAGGGAAACAACGCACGAGCACCGUGAUCGACAAGCGUACGUUCCCGAAAAAGAAAAGGAUUCGGGUGUUGGUGGUCUGUCAGAUUCCAGCAAGACGAUUUCGAGUCAAGAGGAAGAGAAACCAAGUAGGGAGGAUCGCGAAGCGAAAAAAACGAGAGUGAAACAGAGUCUCAUGAAGAGGGCACGUUCGGUCGCUAUAUUCUCGUUAAAAUUAAAAGAACGACGAGCGAGAGAGGCCGAACUUAAAGCGAAGGAAGCAGAGAGGGAAGCUAGAUGGCAACAACCUCAGUCAUGCGUUGGUGGCGAACUAUCUUGCAUUCCCAUAGAAAAGCUUAUAUCUGUGGACGACAUUGCGGCCAUGGAGAUGCGCAGAAUGAAUCAUUAGAGAAGACGCUUCGGAAACUUCGAAUUUUGUUUUUCCGCUAAGUAGAAUUAUUCGUGUACGAGAUCGCGAUACGUAAGAGGAGAGGUAGAAAAUGAAAGAGAGAGAGAGAGAGAGAGGUAGAGAUAAAAAGAGAUAAAGCACUUUUUGUGUUGCUGUACAAAAUGCAGACGGAUUCUCGAGAGAAUAUCGUUUUCACGGUCAAGAUGGUGAUUGGUAGUAAGAUGAGAAGAUGAAAAGAAAGAAACAGAAAGAAAGAAAGAGAGAAUAACGAAUCGAGUAUGGAACAAAGGAACGUCGCACAAAAUAACGAGUCUGCACGAGAUUACGGAACACCGUUCCGGUAGAGACGUCCAUAGAGAAUUUUACCCUACACCACAUACCAUUUCUAGAGAUCACGUUUUAACAUAGAUCAUAGCCCCCUUUGCAAAGUUAAUAGAGAGAAGUAUCUCGUUGAGCUGUAAACGUCCUGCUAGUGCCGUCAUUUUUGCCGUAAGUUCACGAGCGAUUAAUAAACUUUUCGGCUUCUUCGUAACGUGAACACGUUAUCCCUAUUUUCCAGGAAAAAAAAAAAAAAAAACAAAGGCUCGUCUUUUAAUCGAUGAUUCUCCAUUUUUCUUUUCAUAUGAAAUUGAUCCCUGCUUAGGAAAAUACAAAUAAAAAGAAGAAAAAAAUAUUAACGCAUAAAAGAAUCAAAAAUGCGCCGAUCAGGUGCGACACGUUACGAAGAAGCCGUUACGGCCACGAAAUUGUGGAAUACUUACGAUAGACUAAAUAUAUAUAUAUAUAUACAUACAUAUAUAUAUAUAUACAUAUAACAUUUAGAUAUUUGUAAAGUACACGCAAGAUAGCUGACACGUUGGUAGCGAAAUUCAGAUUGGGAGAUCACCGAAGGUGAAAUUGUUAUUGUUGCUGAAAUAUAAGUUGUUACUUACUGUUAACUAGACGUUGACGGGUCAACCGUACAACGAGCGUUCGCUAAGUAAGUUUCUAACAGAAAGCUAUAUAUGAUGCACACAGGCAUGAGAAGUUAAGAAAAUUAAAAGAAAAAAGAAAAAAAGAAGUAAACGUGCUGCAUAUCGCAUCGUACGUAGUACGCGAGCGUCUACUUCCGUUUCCCGCGAAUUUUUCAAACGAAAAAAACUUUCGCGCGUUUCCCCCGCAGCGCACGGUGGCGCACAAAUCGCGCGCGCAUCGAAAUCGAAACGCUUCUAUAUUUUCGUUUACGACAAUUUUUUUCUUGAUAAUCGAAGAUUAUGAUAAUAUUUUUUUUAAUGCAUCGAGUUUUUAAUGCGACGAAUUUCAGGGUCGAUUCUAUUUGUAUAUAAUCGAAUUGCGCGACGAAGAAGAAAGAAAAUAUCACGAAUUUAUGAGGUUAAUUCUAUAUGGCCUAGCGACGCCUUCCCCUCUCGCCAUUCCUCUCUAACCUUCUACGCCCUUGAUUACCUUUGAUUAAAAAAAGCAAUUAAUUUUUUCAUAGCGCUAAAGUGUUUAAUUGCACGUUUUCUUAUGAACAUUAUUUAAGAUCGACGAUAACGAAGGAUCAAGUGCAUCAUUUGAAAACAUAUACAUACAAACACAUUCACACUUCUAUCCACGAACACGUACAUACUAACCAAUGAAAAACGCUCUCACAUGCAUACACAAAUACAUACACGUUACACAUUACAUAUACACACCAAACAACCGACGAGCGCGUUUUAUCUUUUUAGCAUAUCCAACGAGAAAAGUGGCAAGAGAUUCGUUCGAUAGACGCAAAGUCGAUAGAUUAGUUGCUUCCGUAAAAGACAGACUUUAAAUCUUUAAAAGCACUUCGGCGACAAGCAUCUGUGUUUGUUAGAUGUUUUGUAUAAAACAGGAACCGAGCAAAUAAAAAAUAUUCUAUAAAGAA